rnacentral:rRNA from 1 species
CGGACGGGUGAGGAACGCGUGAGAAUUUGCCUUUAGGAGGGGGAUAACAAUUGGAAACGAAUGCUAAUACCCCAUAUGCUUUUAAGUGAAAUGGAUUUUAUCCGCCUAGAGAGAAGCUCGCGGCUGAUUAGCUUGUUGGUAAGGUAAGAGCUUACCAGGGCGACGAUCAGUAUCUGGUUUGAGAGGACGAUCAGACACACUGGAACUGAGACACGGUCCAGACUCCUACGGGAGGCAGCAGUGGGGAAUUUUCCGCAAUGGGCGAAAGCCUGACGGAGCAAUACCGCGUGAGGGAAGAAUGCCUAUGGGUUGUAAACCUCUUUUUUCAGGGAGGAACAAAAUGACGUGUACCUGAAGAAUAAGCAUCGGCUAACUCCGUGCCAGCAGCCGCGGUAAGACGGAGGAUGCAAGUGUUAUCCGGAAUCACUGGGCGUAAAGCGUCUGUAGGUGGUUUAAUAAGUCAACUGUUAAAUCUUGACGGCUCAACUUCAAAAUCGCAGUCGAAACUGUUAGACUAGAGUAUAGUAGAGGUAAAGGGAAUUUCCAGUGGAGCGGUGAAAUGCGUAGAUAUUGGAAAGAACACCGAUGGCGAAAGCACUUUACUGGGCUAUUACUAACACUCAGAGACGAAAGCUAGGGUAGCAAAUGGGAUUAGAUACCCCAGUAGUC